rnacentral:rRNA from 1 species
UACGGAGGGUGCAAGCGUUAUCCGGAAUCAUUGGGUUUAAAGGGUCCGCAGUCGGAUUUAUAAGUCAGUGGUGAAAGCCCGUCGCUCAACGACGGAACUGCCAUUGAUACUGUAAGUCUUGAAUUCGAUCGAAGUGGGCGGAAUAUGACAUGUAGCGGUGAAAUGCUUAGAUAUGUCAUAGAACACCGAUAGCGAAGGCAGCUCACUAGGUCUGGAUUGACGCUCAGGGACGAAAGCGUGGGGAGCAAACAGG